AUUGAACGCUGGCGGCAGGCCUAACACAUGCAAGUCGAACGGUAGCACAGAGAGCUUGCACUCGGGUGACGAGUGGCGGACGGGUGAGUAACGUCUGGGAAACUGCCCGAUGGAGGGGGGUAACUACUGGAAACGGUAGCUAAUACCGCAUAACGUCGCAAGACCAAAGUGGGGGACCUUCGGGCCUCACACCAUCGGAUGUGCCCAGAUGGGAUUAGCUAGUAGGUGGGGUAAUGGCUCACCUAGGCGACGAUCCCUAGCUGGUCUGAGAGGGUGACCAGCCACACGGGAACUGAGACACGGUCCAGACUCCUACGGGAGGCAGCAGUGGGGAAUAUUGCACAAUGGGCGCAAGCCUGAUGCAGCCAUGCCGCGUGUAUGAAGAAGGCCUUCGGGUUGUAAAGUACUUUCAGCGGGGAGGAAGGCGGUGAAGUUAAUAACUUCACCGAUUGACGUUACCCGCAGAAGAAGCACCGGCUAACUCCGUGCCAGCCGCCGCCGUAA
rnacentral:rRNA from 1 species